AGCAGCCGCGGUAAUUCCAGCUCCAAUAGCGUAUAUUAAAGUUGUUGCAGUUAAAAGCUCGUAGUUGAAUUUCGGGAUCAAUAUGUCGGUCGUGCCUUGGUACGUACUGGUAUCAUUGGUCUCUCCUUUCUGACGAACCAUGAUGUCAUUAAUUUGGUGUUAUGGGAAGUUAGGACUGUUACUUUGAAAAAUUAGAGUGUUUAAAGCAGGCUUUAGCUUGAAUACAUUAGCAUGGAAUAAUGAAAUAGGACGUUCGAACCUAUUUUGUUGGUUUCUAGGAUCAACGUAAUGAUUAAUAGGGAUAGUUGGGGGCAUUAGUAUUCAAUUGUCAGAGGUGAAAUUCUUGGAUUUAUUGAAGACUAACUACUGCGAAAGCAUUUGCCAAGGAUGUUUUCAUUAAUCAAGAACGAAAGUUAGGGGAUCGAAGACGAUCAGAUACCGUCGUAGUCUUAACCAUAAACUAUGCCGACUAGGGAUCGGAUGAUGUUAAUUUUUAAUGACUCAUUCGGCGCCUUACGGG
rnacentral:misc_RNA from 1 species